AACUAGGUAGGGACAGAUGUGGCACAAGAAACAGAAUAUUUUGCUUCAUUUGCAAAUAUUUAGUCUAAACAUUUAUUCAUUAUAAAGUCCCAGGUCUGCAAUAUUAUAUUGAAACUCUAACUGGAGCGUUUUAAUGCAUUAAAGCAAAAAAUGAAUGUAAUAACUAAAACAAUCCUCAAAAAGUAAGUGGUAAGAAAAUCAAAAUCUAAAUUUACUGAAACAAUUCUCAAAUAUUAUCAGUAAGUGACAUUAUUGCUUUGAAUUAGAGUUAUAACAAUAAAUACUCGGUGAAGCCUGGAUUUUUUUAAUUACCGGCUGGAGAACGUUGCAACUCUAGCUUUCAGUAAUGAAUAUUUUUAUGACCGCAGUUUCCGUAUCGAUAUUUAACUACAGUAGUAACUGGUCGUCGUCGCAGAGAAUGGGAAAAAUCAAAAUCCGUACAAACAGAUGAUUAAUUUGCAAGCAUUUGGACGCAGUUAUGUAGUUACUUAUCUAGUAAGCGAAAUGAACAGAUAAUCGAUUUACACGGAAAAUAUAACUGAUAUUGAAGACAGAAUAAAUCACAAGACGCGUCUUUAUUUAUUUUCUAUUUGAUAGCGAUGGCCCUCUUGUGCAUUCCUAGACCUUGGCUUUUCAUCAUAAGUCUACUUAUUUUCGAACAAGUCACCUUCAGCUAUGGCCAAAGCCCACAGAUACCCCCGGAAUGCGUUAAAUCCAGAAGAAACGUCGAAAAUGGGAAGAUAAAAGCCAUUUGCAUCCCCUUCCUAUAUUACCCGUAUUAUUAUUACUACCCUAUGUAUUAUUACCCCUAUCCGUAUUAUUUUUACUACCCUUACGUUGCCGGAUAAUGAAAUUGUGAUGUAAAAACUAUAGCCUUUUACGUAUUUUACUACCCAAAUAAAGAUUUACCUAUUUAUUUCAAUAA